rnacentral:rRNA from 1 species
AUUGAACGCUGGCGGCAGGCCUAACACAUGCAAGUCGAGCGAGCGGCGGACGGGUGAGUAAUGUCUGGGGACUGCCCGAUAGAGGGGGAUAACUACUGGAAACGGUAGCUAAUACCGCAUACCAUCGGAUUACCCAGAUGGGAUUAGCUAGUUGGUGGGGUAAUGGCUCACCAAGGCGACGAUCCCUAGCUGGUCUGAGAGGAUGACCAGCCACACUGGAACUGAGACACGGCCCAGACUCCUACGGAGGCAGCAGUGGGGAAUAUUGCACAAUGGGCGCAAGCCUGAUGCAGCCAUGCCGCGUGUGUGAAGAAGGCCCUAGGGUUGUAAAGUACUUUCAGUGGGGAGGCGUUACCGGCAGAAGAAGCACCGGCUAACUCCGUGCCAGCAGCCGCGGUAAUUC